rnacentral:rRNA from 1 species
UACAGAGGGUGCGAGCGUUGUCCGGAAUCACUGGGCGUAAAGGGCGCGUAGGCGGCGCGGUAAGCGUGCGGUGAAAGCCCGGGGCUCAACCCCGGGUCGGCCGUGCGGACUGCCGGGCUGGAGCACUGUAGAGGCAGGUGGAAUUCCGGGUGUAGCGGUGGAAUGCGUAGAUAUUAGGAAGAACACCGGUGGCGAAGGCGGCCCACUGGUCCGGUACUGACGCUGAGGUGCGAAAGCGUGGGGAGCAAACAGG